GGCGGCGUGCUUACACAUGCAGUCGAACGAACCUUCGGGUUAGUGGCGGACGGGUGAGUAACGCAAUCUGCCCUCAGGAGGGGGACAACAGUUGGAAACGACUGCUAAUACCCCAUAUGCCGCGAGGUGAAAUGAAUUUCGCCUUAGGAUGAGCUCGCGUCUGAUUAGCUAGUUGGUGUAGGUAAUGGCUCACCAAGGGCAUCGAUCAGUAGCUGGUCUGAGAGGAUGAUCAGCCACACUGGGACUGAGACACGGCCCAGACUCCUACGGGAGGCAGCAGUGGGGAAUUUUCCGCAAUGGGCGAAAGCCUGACGGAGCAACGCCGCGUGAGGGAUGAAGGCCUCUGGGGCUUGUAAAACCUCCUUUUACUCACCGGGAAAGCAACGAUCUUGACGGUACUUGAUUGAAAUAAGCCACGGAUAAUUUCCGGUGCCAGCAGCCGCGGUAAUACGGGACGUGGCAAAGCGUUAUCACCAGGAAAUAAUUGGGCCGUCAAAGCGUACGCAAGCGAGCCCUUCAAAGUCUGCAUUGGUUAACAAAGUUCGGAGACUCAAACUCCCAUCAAUGGCCAGU
rnacentral:rRNA from 1 species